GAUGAACGCUGGCGGCGUGCCUAAUACAUGCAAGUCGAGCGAAGAGGGGACGGGUGAGUAACACGUGGAUAACCUCCUAUAAGACUGGGAUAACUUCGGGAAACCGGAACUAAACCUGACACUUAUAGAUGGAUGCCCGCUGCAUUUGCGAGUUGGUAAGGUAAAGGCUUACCAAGGCAACUAUGCAUAACCGACCUGAGAGGGUGAUCGGCCAAACUGGAACUGAGACACAGUCCUGAUUCCUCCGGGAGGCAGCAGUAGGGAAUCUUCCGCAAUGGGCGAGAGCCUGACGGAGAAACGCCGCGUGAUUGAUGAAGGUCUUCGGGUCGUAAAACUCUGUUAUUAGGGAAGCGGUACCUACUCAGAAAGCCACGGCUAACUACGUGCCAGCAGCCGCGGUAAUAC
rnacentral:rRNA from 1 species